AUGCCCGCUUGGGCUGCUUCUGCCUGCAGCUGUUGGGACAGUGCAGCUACAACGCCAAGCCUUCCCGACCCUCAGUCCUCACAUCUGUCAAAUGGGGAGAAUACCCCCCGCUGCAGGGCCCCUCCCAGGCCAAGGCAAUAUCGUGUUUAUAUUCAGAAAGAACAAGAUUCUAGAAAUGAAAGAUGGACUAUGGACACUCCCAGCUCAGCCGGUGGGCAGCUCUGCUUUGGACCUCGCUGGACGGGUGAAUCAGCGCUGGGCAGGGCAGGGCAGCCAGCGGAAGCCGUCCGACAGGACACCCGGCGCUGUGGGGCGUGCCCGGGGAUUGCAGGCCUGACGAGGAUGUUUGUCACCCUGUCCCCACCCAAGGGACACAGAGAGGACAUCCCCACCCCAGGGCCCCAGAGGGCAGCAUCUGAGUGUCGGGCCCCGCCCCACCUGCGCAGCCACCCCACCUUUGCUCACACACUGCCUCCCGCCUGGGGCUCCCUCACACCCAGCGUGCGUCUCCCAAACCCUCACUGUGAGGCGCCCUCAGUGUGCCCAGAGGCAGUCACAGGAGAUGGCCAUGGGUCCUGGCCGUGGCUGGCAAAGUGCGUCCACACCUGGUCUGCGGGACCGCCGCCCCCAACGAUGGAGAUGCCGCCUGUGCUCCCCAGCCAUGCACACAGAAGGUGCUCAGUGAGCGCGGAGAGAUGCUUAUCCCUACACGAGGCUGCAGCAGGCCUCCGAGGCCCAGAGAGGUUAAGCACCACGUCCCAGGCCACACAGCCCUGGGCAGGAGAGGCUGGGCUCGGACGUCCGUCAGCUCCCACAUCAGUGGUCCUGGCUCCAGGCUCUUGGUUCCGGUUUCUCAGAGCUGAGCAAGGCGUACCCAUGAAGGAGCUGGACAGCAGCCAGGCACCAAAUGGGCAGCGUCCGCGUGCCCGCUGUGUCACGUACUGGCUGUGUGGCCAGUGUGUCUCCUCGCCACUCUGCCUGUUUCCUCCCUCCUGGCGACAGCCGUCAUGA
rnacentral:lncRNA from 1 species